rnacentral:rRNA from 1 species
AAUUGCUCUUUCCCCACGCCCCACCACAGGGCACAGGCCGACCCAACCGCCGCACUCAUCGCCGUUAACACCGCCGCUUCCGCAUCCCCAGAUCCACACCGCCCGGCCAAGGGCCACGGCUCCAUUCCCCAACCACCACGCCGCCGAACCCGUAUCCCCCCAUCCCCCAUCUCCCCGCCACACCCCCAACCGAAUCCACGCCGCCGCGGCCUGCCGCAUCCCCACCCCAUUGACGUAGCAGCCGCGCGCUGGCUGCAAGGACAUCGGCGAUGUAAUUCCUUAAACUGAGAUACAAAGAGGGAGGACAGGGUCGUGGGGCUCCGCCACGUGCCUGGAUCCAGGCACCAGCCAACGCAUCUUGCUCGAUCUGGCUACCGCCGCGCGCGUCCGUGCCAGAUCCGGCCGGCACGGUCGAGGCUGGGUGGAGGAGCAUGGGGCGGUGGCUUGGUUGUUGAGGAGGGGAAGCGAGCACGGGGCGGUGGCUAGGAUGUGGAGGAGGUGAAGCGAACACGGGCCGUUGUGGCUAGGAGGUGAGCUGCUCAUCCUCGAUCUGGAGAAGGGGAAGGCAGAGGUGUAGGUUCACAAGUUGAGGGAAGCUGCAGCCAUAAAUAAUCGAAAAAGUACCACACUUCACAGUUUUUGAAAAGAAUGGCAAACAGAGGAUAAAGAGAUGAUGCUUCUACAUAUAAAGAUUUGUGAACAGGGAAUGUAACGCUUGUCAUAGAGAGGUUGAAUGACUUCAUUCCAAGUCUUGCAUGAACAAGACAACAAGACAAAGGUCACCAGUAAUAAUGCCUUUGCAUCCACAAGGUUCUAGAGGUGUGUUUGGUGAGCUAAAAGAGUAUUCUGCUGGUUUCGGUUUUGUCCAUAAUGUAAAACCUUUACUUGUGAACCUACAAAUGUACUUAUGUGUGCAUGUAGACCUGAUGGAUGGUUGUGCUUUUGGCUGUCCUGUAACUAGA